rnacentral:rRNA from 1 species
ACCGGGUGCUUGCACCUGGGGAUUAGUGGCGAACGGGUGAGUAACACGUGAGUAACCUGCCCUGGACUCUGGGAUAACCCCGAGAAAUCGGAGCUAAUACCGGAUAGGACCUGGAACCGCAUGGUUUUGGGUGGAAAGUUUUUCGGUCUGGGAUGGACUCGCGGCCUAUCAGCUUGUUGGUGAGGUAAUGGCUCACCAAGGCGUCGACGGGUAGCCGGCCUGAGAGGGUGACCGGCCACACUGGGACUGAGACACGGCCCAGACUCCUACGGGAGGCAGCAGUGGGGAAUAUUGCACAAUGGGCGCAAGCCUGAUGCAGCAACGCCGCGUGAGGGAUGACGGCCUUCGGG